UACAGAGGUCCCAAGCGUUGUUCGGAUUCACUGGGCGUAAAGGGUGCGCAGGUGGGUUGGCAAGUUCGAUGUGAAAGCCCCGGGCUUAACCCGGGAAUGGCAUUGGAUACUGUUGAUCUGGAGGGUCGGAGGGGGGACUGGAAUUCUUGGUGUAGCAGUGAAAUGCGUAGAUAUCAAGAGGAACACCAGUGGCGAAGGCGAGUCCCCGGACGAUACCUGACACUGAGGCACGAAAGCCAAGGGAGCAAACAGG
rnacentral:rRNA from 1 species